ACCCCGAGCAACUCAUCCCACCACCACCACCACGCAGGAGCAACAAGGUAGGUGAUGCUAGUAACAACAUACACUUACCUGACACGCUGCCUGCCUCCCUCAUACCCCGAGCAACUCAUCCCACCACCACCACCACGCAGGAGCAGCAAGAAGAUAAAGAUCUGUUGAACUUUGAAGAUUCGAUGGCGGAGGGCGGUCGUACAGAGAGCGAUGGUACGACACCUGAACCAGGCUCGCCUCAGCAACAGCAUUGGACGACGUUCUGUGAUUCGCCGACGUCGCUUGCCUCGAUGGCGUCCAGUAGCGUGUCGUCUCCCGGCGUGCGGCCGCCCCCGAUGAACUUCGACUUUGCUCCCAUCACCGUCGAUGGCGACUCGACGAUCGUCCAUCCAAUCCCGGUGAAGCUGCCGAUGGACAACCCGCAGGUGGAGAUCUCGUCGGACGAGAGCAGUCUCGGUCGCACGAAGAAACCCGCAGAGCCCAUCCCGUAUGAGGUGUUGUACAACGCGCAAGGCCAGCAAGCCUCCCCCACGAAACCACGCACGCACACCGAGCCGCCCCCGCCGCGCCACCGCAAGUUCCAAACCCAUCCCCGUCAGAGCUGUAUGAUUGCACCGCCCCCUGGUGGCAAAACACCGAAGAAGCCUGGGUGACGCGGCGGGAGCGACAAUCGUACCCGGUUCGCCUCCACCCAUAGCGACGGUGACGCCCCCUGUGGUGACGCUGCCGAUGGAGACAGACAGACACAGUCCACAGAAAACGGCGGCUGUUGCAUCGCAGGCGUCGUCAGAGAUGGCGCCACCUCUGCCUCCACCACGAGCGAAGGAACACAGCCGGAGUUCGUCCCUCGAUCUGAACCUCGUAUUCCAGAGCAGAGGGAGCCAGCUGCCUCCACCUGUAGUUCCACCUAGAAUCUCCCCGGCAGAGGUGGCAGGUAAGAGGGUCGUCAAUCAAUCUAGUCUGCCUUCAUACCAGCAGAAUGAAGAUGAGAAUGAAGAGGAGGAGGAUGAGAAGAAGGAGGAGA
rnacentral:misc_RNA from 1 species